CCAUUACAGGUGUUGCAUGGCUGUCGUCAGCUCGUGUCGUGAGAUGUUCGGUUAAGUCCGCUAACGAGCGCAACCCUCGCUGUGUGUUAUAUGUGUCACACAGGACUGCUGGUAUUAAGCCGGAGGAAGGUGGGGACGACGUCAAGUCAGCAUGACCUUUAUAUCCAGGGCUACACACACGCUACAAUGGUCAGUACAAUGGGUUGCCAAGCCGCGAGGCGGAGCCAAUCCUAAAAAGCUGGCCUCAGUUCAGAUUGCAGUCUGAAACUCGACUGCAUGAAGUCGGAGUUGCUAGUAAACGCAGGUCAGCUAUACUGCGUUGAAUACGUUCCCGGGGCUU
rnacentral:rRNA from 1 species